AUGGCCCAGGAGAGGGGCAUCCUGGACCGGUCCUAGAGGACCGGUGGCCAAUGGAGAGCGGGAUAAAGGGCGUUUGAACUCGCCCUGCCUGUGCAGGUGGGUGAUCUCGGGAUGCUCUCCCAAGUGGGGCAUAGGCAGAAGCUCUGAAAAGGAGGCAGGUCGGCUAAGCUGGCUACAGGAUUCCUAGCUGAGCCUCCUUUCCAUAGAAAAGCUGGUACGAUCGCUCCUACAGCGGUUCCUUCGGGCCCUGGACCAAAUCCAGGAAACCCGCUGGAGCGCUCUGCUUUUCCGUUCGUUGGCACUGGAGAAGGGACUUACGAGCUUGUCGCUUCCCUUCCAUUUCCCGGAGAGAGUUUGAGGGAGGUGCUUGAGCCAAGGUUGGGAUCACUCACCGUUUUUAAUUCCACUCCUUCCCUGUAACAUUUUUCUCUCCCUAAACGCCAGACUGUUUUUUUUCCCCCUCUUUAUAGAAGGAUCCUCUUAUCCAUAAUCAUUCCUGGCACAUCCACUAUCAUCCUUUCUCACUCUUUUUGCCAAUGGACUUUGACUAGAAUGGGAAGAACAUUUAUCGAUAGAUAGAUAGAUAGAUAGAUAGAUAGAUAGAUAGAUAGAUAGAUAGAGGCAUGAAGUUUGUAAGAAGUUUGCAGUUUGUUUCUACAGUGGAAGAUUGCCUGCUGCCUUCCUUUUGAGACACAAGGCUGCUGUGGAAAACAGAGGGAGCAUUUUCUUCUCUAUAUCCCCAAGAGAGCAUUUUCUUCUCUAUGUCCCCAAGCUAGAACUGAAGUCAGGCCAGUGCUGAUUUUGAGACACAACAUGCAAAUACAGGUAUUGAGAUCUCCCUACCCUCCCUAAGAGAAAUGGGAGAAGAGUCCUGCUGCAGCUUUCUGCAAGGAUUGGAGCUGCUGUUUCAAAGGCUCCCAGAGACUUCUUGGGUUUGUGGGGAAAAGAGUGGGGGUGGGGCACAGGAAUAAUUUUCUCUCUUGCAAUCAAAGCACAUAAAAGGGGGGGGAAUCAGAACUGCUCAAGCAACAAAAAGAAGGUAGGUUUUAUAGCAUUGGGGGCCAUUCAUAUUGUCCAUCAUAGUAUACAUGAAUUGUAAAGAUUACUGAUUGGUGGUUAGUGACAUCAUACUAUUGUGGUAAUUAAAAUUAUACUCCUAAUUAAUAUUUUAAGGAUGACUGGAUACUACAGCAUGGUGUUGACUAGGCAGAGAGUGUCUUGGUUAAAGCCGAAUGAAAGUGAGUUGCUGGCAUGUAGCUUCAAUGGAUUACCUUGGGCAAAAAACCUGAUGCAUUAAGAAGUGGAGCUAAUGGAAAAGCAUUGUGCUUCAUAUUCUACUUGCACAUUCUGAUAUUUUCAAAAGGCAAAAAUACUUAUUAAAUUUAGAAGAUAGAACUGGAUAUCUGUUGCUUUCUGGAUAUUCUGCUGUAGUUCAGUAAUGCUUCCUUCUUAUUAGCUUUAUAAUAGUAGCAAUAUCAACAUGAUUCUUUUAAAGCAAUGUUCUUUAUUGAAAAGACAAAACUCCAGCUGGUCCUGAUACUCAAUACAAAUUUUUAGGUUUAUAAAGUCUAGGUGCAAGCUGCAAGGUUUUGGACUUUGGAAUUCUGAUUUUAAAACAGGUGGAUCCUAUAAGCUGACAUCACAAUGUAACACAGGAACUUACCUUAGCAACAGAAAGUCACUUGACUAAUAGGAUGUUGCAGUGUGUGAGAUCUUUUGCAGGGUAGAAAACAUAUUUGGCAAAGGGAUGCCAGAAAGACAUUUCAUUACCAGGCUUGGUAACAUCAUUGGGGCAUAAGAAAGUAGAAUUCGGUGGCUGUUUAUCUAUGGUAAACUAUCCCUCUGUGAUGUGAGCUAAGCCUGAAUGAAAGAGGAGAUCCUGAGGAUGUGGGCCUCUUCCAUCUGGCAAAGACUGGAGGUGUCUGGAAAUGAGGGUGGAUUGUGUACACAAAAAGCUCCAUACUUAUCAACCUUACUGUCUGGCACAUGAUGAAUAUUCAUUCCAUUACUCAAGUUUAGUUUAAAUGGUAUCAAUAAAAUAUUCCGGUUUUCA